rnacentral:rRNA from 1 species
UACGUAGGGGGGCAAGCGUUGUCCGGAAUCAUUGGGCGUAAAGCGCGCGUAGGCGGCCCGGUAAGUCCGCUGUAAAAGUCCAGGGCUCAACCCUGGAAAGCCGGUGGAUACUGUCGGGCUAGAGUCCGGAAGAGGCGAGUGGAAUUCCUGGUGUAGCGGUGGAAUGCGCAGAUAUCAGGAAGAACACCCGUGGCGAAGGCGGCUCUCUGGGACGGUACUGACGCUGAGACGCGAAAGCGUGGGGAGCGAACAGG